AUACGUAGGGGGCGAGCGUUGUCCGGAAUGAUUGGGCGUAAAGGGCGCGUAGGCGGCGCGGUAAGUCUGGAGUGAAAGUCCUGCUUUCAAGGUGGGAAUUGCUUUGGAUACUGCCGCGCUUGAGUGCAGGAGAGGUUAUCGGAAUUCCCGGUGUAGCGGUGAAAUGCGUAGAGAUCGGGAGGAACACCAGUGGCGAAGGCGGGUAACUGGACUGCAACUGACGCUGAGGCGCGAAAGUGUGGGGAGCAAACAGGAUUAGAUACCCUGGUAGUCCACACUGUAAACGAUGAAUGCUACGUGUAAGAGGUAUCGACCCCUUUUGUGCCGGAGUCAACACAAUAAGCAUUCCGCCUGGGGAGUACGGCCGCAAGGUUGAAACUCAAAUGAAUUGACGGGG
rnacentral:rRNA from 1 species